rnacentral:rRNA from 1 species
CAGAGGAACCUGUUCUAUAAUCGAUAAUCCACGAUGGACCUUACUUAAAUUUGUUAAUCAGUUUAUAUACCGUCGUUAUUAGAAUAUUUUAUAAGAAUAAUAAUUUUCAUAAAAUUUUAUUAAAAUAUAUAUCAGAUCAAGGUGUAGCUUAUGUUUAAGAAGAAAUGGGUUACAAUAAAAUUAUUUAUACGAACAUAAAUAUGAAAAAUUUAUUGAAGGUGGAUUUGAUAGUAAAAUUAUAAAGAUUAAUAAUUUGAUUAUAGCUCUAAAAUAUGU